UUGGUGGAAGAGGAGUGGGAAACAUCCAUCCAAGCACCUCCCCACCAAAAUUCAGAGGCGGUCCGCACCCAUGCGUUAAGGCGUUGUAAAAGCUAUCCAGCACUUUUCGCCGUAACUGUGGGAGUUUAUCUAGCCAUUUGAACAACCCCCAUCAAUCAAAGGUUGACCUCGGAUCAGGUAGGGAUACCCGCUGAACUUAA
rnacentral:misc_RNA from 1 species